AAGUCAGCAUGACCUUUAUAUCCAGGGCUACACACACGCUACAAUGGUCUGUACAAUAGGUUGCCAAGCCGCGAGGCGGAGCCAAUCCUAAAAAGCAGGCCUCAGUUCAGAUUGCAGUCUGCAACUCGACUGCAUGAAGUUGGAGUUGCUAGUAAACGCAGGUCAGCUAUACUGCGUUGAAUACGUUCCCGGGGAUU
rnacentral:rRNA from 1 species